rnacentral:rRNA from 1 species
GACGAACGCUGGCGGCGUGCUUAACACAUGCAAGUCGAACGGUGAAGCGCCUUCCUUUUUGGUGGGUGUGGAUGAGUGGCGAACGGGUGAGUAACACGUGAGUAACCUGCCCCCUUCUUCUGGAUAACCGCAUGAAAGGGUGGCUAAUACGGGAUAUUCUGGGUCUGUCGCAUGAUGGGUCUGGGAAAGAUAUUGUUUCGGUGGGGGAUGGGCUCGCGGCCUAUCAGCUUGUUGGUGGGGUGAUGGCCUACCAAGGCGGUGACGGGUAGCCGGCCUGAGAGGGUGGCCGGUCACACGGGGACUGAGACACGGCCCAGACUACUACGGGAGGCAGCAGUGGGGAAUAUUGCACAAUGGGCGCAAGCCUGAUGCAGCGACGCCGCGUGAGGGAUGGAGGCCUUCGGGUUGUGAACCUCUUUCGCCAGUGAAGCAGGCCUGCCUCGUUUGUGGGUGGGUUGACGGUAGCUGGAUAAGAAGCGCCGGCUAACUACGUG